UACAGAGGGUGCAAGCGUUAAUCGGAAUUACUGGGCGUAAAGCGUGCGUAGACGGUUAUGUAAGUCGGGCGUGAAAGCCCCGGGCUCAACCUGGGAAUGCCAUUCGAGACUGCAUAGCUAGGGUGCGGAAGAGGGAAGCGGAAUUUCCGGUGUAGCGGUGAAAUGCGUAGAUAUCGGAAGGAACACCAGUGGCGAAAGCGGCUUCCUGGUCCAGCACCGACGUUCAGGCACGAAAGCGUGGGGAGCAAACAGG
rnacentral:rRNA from 1 species